rnacentral:lncRNA from 13 species
CGUCACGGCAGCACGCCUCCGGCGACAUCACGGCGACGCGCCUCUGGCGCACAGACGGGCCUCUGGUGACGUCACAGGGGCGCACCUUUGGCGCACAGAGACAGGCCUCUGGAGAUGUCACAGAGGCAGAUCUUCUGCCACUUCACUCGGAGGUGUGUUGCCUAGGAGCUGGGUUGUCUUCUCCGCCGAGCAGAGUCUUGUAACCUCCACCUCCCGCUGCGUCCUGUGUGCUGCUGGCUGGAGAAGGGGCCUGGGAAGGAGCCAGAUUCCAUGAGUUAAAUGCAGAUCUGAACCAUACCGAACUGGGAUUAAAGUACACACCCUCCUAUUCUGAGAAGUAGCUAAGGAUUCCAACUUGGUGUGGUGGAGAGUGUGGCAGAGCCAGACCAGACAAGGACUGAUCACCUGGAGAAGCAUGCUGUUCAAAGGCCUUGUUCUGAAGGCCAGAAUUCUAAUGUCAGUCCCACUGACUCAAGGUGGGAGCAGGGCAGGUACCUUCCCAGGCUCCGUAGGAGAAUGAGUUUCCCGGCCCUGGAGGCUUCCUGCACUCCUCAGCUUGUGCUGCCCUUCUUGAAUGACUCGAGGUUCCUGUUUCCAUCACUACACUUCCCAUCCCUCUCCAUCACCUGCUCUGCUGUGAUAAGGAUCUGGGCUGGCUGCAGUCUUUGUUCCCUGCAACAUUUGUCUCCUGGGUUCAAGUGAUUCUUCUACAUCAACCUCCUGAGUAGCUGGGACUACAGGUGCCUGCCACCAUGUCUGGCUAAGUUUUGUAUUUUUGGAGGAGUUGGGGACAUGGAGGGGGUAGUGAAAGGUGGGGG